GUAUUCCAGGCGCCUGCAACUAAACGUGGCCGGGUCUGCAAGCUAGGUGCCAGCGGGGAAAGUUUCCCUGCUUCUUAUCGUCUGCUUUAACGCCUUAAAUAGCCCGCUGAAGGCUGCAGCAGGUGCUAGGUAGCAGCCUCCCGGCCCUCGGGAAAGGCGGGGUGGGGAGGCGAGAGCAGCUUAGCCUCCUCGACCUCCCUUCCUGGUGACGGACGAACAGUUCCCGUAGAAUUUCGCUUCACCGAGUGACCUUGAGCCCAGGGCGACGGUCAGCUUGUUAAUUCCUGGCUGCAGGUACAUUCCGCUUCUUCCUCACCCCAGACGCCUUAAAAUACCCUAAAUUGUGUUGCUGAAAGGACCAAGCCCUGGAAGGCAGGGAUUGAGUUCUAGUCUUCUGUUUGCCAGGCUUAUAACAUUAUUAACGACGAUGAUUUUUAGUAAUAGUAAUAACAUCACCUUUUAUUAUUGGGAAGUUAUGUGCCAGCUAUUGCACUAAGUGGAAUUGUCAACUCUAGGAGUUUACAUGUUAUUCCAUUUUAUUAAUCUUUAAACUGAGGUACAGAGAGUUGGGCAUCUUGACUAAAAUCAUACACCUGGGAAAUAAUGAAGAGCUUGUCUGUCUCCAAAGCCCAGGAACAAAUUACUUAUGAACUUUGUGAGAAUUUUAAUGCAUGGAAAAGCUGUCCAUGUUCCAACUGCUGUACAUCCAAAAGUCUCAGUGUAAUAGCAGGACCAAAAUAUUCUGUCAAUCAGCUGACCAUAUACUUAAUGACUCCUAAAAUCUCGUGGACUUCUAAGUUUUCUGUUUGCCCAGAAAGCGCCAUGGCCUGUGCUGCUGUUAUGAUUCCUGGGUUGUUGCGGUGCUCUGUUGGAGCCAUCCGUAUUGAGGCUGCGUCACUGAGAUUGACACUCAGCACUUUGCGCCACCUUACUCUAACCAGCAUAAUGAAAUCCAAAAGGAAAACUGAUCACAUGGAGAGAACUGCAAGUGUCCUUCGACGGGAGAUUGUGUCAGCAGCUAAGGUGUGUGGAGCUGCCAGUGAGUCACCGUCAGUGAAGAGCCUCCGCUUGCUUGUUGCUGAUCAAGACUUUUCCUUUAAAGCUGGCCAGUGGGUUGAUUUCUUUAUUCCAGGAGUCUCUGUGGUUGGUGGGUUUUCAAUAUGCUCCAGUCCCAGACUGCUAGAACAAGAGAGAGUGAUAGAAUUGGCAGUGAAAUAUACGAACCACCCUCCUGCCCUCUGGGUUCACAAUACGUGUACACUUGACUGUGAAGUGGCUGUGAGAGUGGGUGGAGAGUUCUUCUUUGACCCUCAGCCUGCGGAUGCCUCUAGAAACCUCGUGUUGAUUGCAGGAGGAGUCGGAAUUAACCCUCUGCUUUCCAUCCUGCGGCACGCAGCAGAUCUCCUCAGAGAGCAGGCAAACAAAAGAAAUGGAUAUGAGAUAGGAACAAUAAAACUAUUCUACAGUGCAAAAAAUACCAGCGAACUCCUGUUUAAGAAAAAUAUCCUUGAUUUAGUAAAUGAAUUUCCUGAGAAGAUUGCAUGCAGUUUGCAUGUUACAAAACAGACUACACAAAUCAAUGCGGAACUCAAGCCAUACAUCACGGAAGGAAGAAUAACGGAGAAGGAGAUAAGAGAUCAUAUUUCAAAAGAGACUUUGUUCUAUAUUUGUGGCCCACCUCCAAUGACAGACUUUUUCUCCAAGCAACUGGAAAACAACCAUGUACCCAAAGAACACAUUUGCUUUGAGAAGUGGUGGUAGGAGGCAGACAAAGGCAGAAAAAAUAAAGAGGGCUGCGGUGCACACCUCCAGGGCCCCAUUCAUAUUGUAUUUGAUGUGAAUAGCGCCCUCUGCUGUUGUGCAGUGUACAACUGAGGACAAUUCCACCACGUGCUAGACCUUCCAUCUAAUAUGAGCCCAGAUACUCUCUCCGGGGCUGCUCUUGCUAAAUAACAGAGCUUCCAUAGUUUCCCCUGGAUGCCUGGCCACAUCCAGUUUCCUGUAGAAGAUCACAUCUUGUUGAUCUGCUGAUAUAAUACAAAACGAGAACACAAAUGGUAGAAAACAAACAACAAAAACUGUUUCAGAUCCCAACAAUUCAAAAAGGAGACGUCUCAGAAAGCAAGAGGAGGCCUGGACUGUGCCAGAUUUCAGUUGAGCCUCUGAGGUGAGCUCUGACAUCCACACCACUUAAAGGCAGGCAAGUCCAGCCUGGGGAAUGGACUCCAGGUUUUGAGUAGGACCGGGGGAGUCUCUGAGCUUAACCAGCAAGCCGCAGAUAAAACAGGUUGCACUGAGUUGGGGGCCUUCCCAAGCCAGAGCAUCUGUGGCAGUUGGGUGUGUCACCAAAUCCAAUUAGCCGCCCAAUUCAGAAAUAACUGUCUAAAAGAAAAAAAGAAAUCCUUCACUUUACAGCAGUGUGUGUCCAGAGUUCCAUGUCAGCAGGAGCCAAUGGAUUUAAUUUGCACAUUUUAAAAACUGCCCAUGAUGUGUCCACUUCAAGUAGUUUAGCUGGAAGGAAGUCUUCCCGAGUUGUAGAAAUCACCUACUCCCUUUGAAGAAGUUUAAUAUUUGCCUUGAAAAUCACACGCACGUACACAGAGGUUUCUUUCCAAUGCUGAAAAGUCCUGAUUAGAAAAAUCUAUCCAUGUUGCUGAUUAAAAGAAGACUAAAUAUGCCACAUCCUCGGUGUGCCAAUCUUGCAGUUUCUUUUCUUAAGUUUUAAUGCUAGACAUACUAUGUGUGUCCUCGCUAAGAAGCUGAUUACUCAUUCAUUGAUUCGACAAGUAUCUGUUGAGCACCAACUAAAAUCUGGGUACACAACACAGGAAAAAGGUCUUUGCUCUUGUGGAGACUAUGUCUGACUCUGCCUGGGAAGGAUAAAAUAAUGAUCACAAAUAACUAAAAGCCCAAAGGAGAGCUCUGAAGGAGAAGAACGUGGUUCUUUUCCAGGGUAGUACAAAGGAGUCUGGUUUGGUAUAAAAGGAGACAGCACUGUUCUGAGAAAAGGAUGCUCGAGUAGAGCUAGAAAGGAGGAGAAUGUCCUUGGCAGAGGGGACACGGAAGAACUGGAGGCCACAGAGGAGCUGGAGGCCACAGAGAAUGGGAGGCUGGCAGAGGAGGUAAGAGGGACCAGAUCCCUUGGGGCCUUGAGGGCCACAGUACUGAUUUCCAUCUUUGUCUUCAGAGUCAUACAAAACUAGAACUCCUUUGAGCAGUGGGAUGACAGGAUUCAAGUUCCCUUUUUAACAGAUCACUUGGGCUCUGAAUAGGGAACCUAUUUGAAGGGGAUAUCUAUUAUUAGGAGAUUAGAAUAGCUGAGGCGAGUGAUGGUAGAGAGAAGUGGAGGGAUUCCAGAGCCUCCGGGACCUAACACAGAUGGGUCUUAAGGAUAGAUUGAAUAUAGGGGAAGGAGAGGGGAGGGUCAGCAGGGAUAGCCCCUAAGGUGCAAUGCCAUUCCUCUAGAUAGGGUGGCGGUUGGCCAGGUGGGCGAGGUAUGGGGAGGGGGACAGUCAUAGGUUUCCUCGAGCCACAGGAUGGAUGGAGCUGGAGUCUUGGGGUGCAGUGAGGGCUGAAAAUGCAGGCGGAAUGGUCAUUGGCACAGAGGUGGUGAAGGAGAUUUUCUAAGGAAGAGGCAAGAGUGAAGGGAGAAAUGGGGCUGGGUCUGAACCCUGAGGAACUUAGUGGGAAACCAGGAGAAUGAGGUGGGAAAGAACCAAGAGAAAAGCUGCUUCAGGGAGUGGGGGUGGUCCCAACAUCCGGGCUGCAAGAGCUCAGGCAUGAUGAGGACUAGAUGGAGUGACUCUCGGUCACCAGGGGACACAGGCCUGUGGGAGUAGGACGCUGACCCUUGUCAGCUGAGGAGUGAGGAGGGGACACCCAGUGCAGAAGAUUCUUCCAAGGAGUCUGGCUGUGAAGCCCCCCUCUCUGGAGGACUCCCAUCUGUGAGGUGACCCAGAGGGUCUUGUGUAGAACAAGUGCUCCACACCAGUCACCUACAGUCUUGGAAUGAGGCAGGAAAUAAUUAGGUACAUGGAAAGAGAAAGCAGUCCACCCAGAUGAGUACAGCUGCUUGGGAUUAGAAGUUUUUACUGACUGAAAAAACAGUGGGUCCCAUCCUCUCUGAAUUUUCCCUGAGGAGAGUCAGUUCAACCUUAUUACAGCAGCUUUUACAAAUCUAUCUCUAAAGUCUCCCUGCCGACUCAAGUUUCCACUGACUUGUCCCCCUGCAUGCGAUGCCAUGACCUUCACACCAACAUCCAACCACAUGUCUCUCCUUUGGAAUCUGUGUGCCCCACCACCAGGAACCUGUUAGGCAAAGGUGGCACCAUCUCCCUCUGUAAGGCUGCAGCGGGUGUCUGUCAGCAUCUGACAGGGGCCCUUUGCGUGCUGUGUGUUGAAUGUUGCACUUGCUGAAUGCAUGCAGUUCCCGUGAGCCUGUGGCUGAGCUGAAACUGACAGCGCUCUGCAGCCGAUCCAUCUUCCAGCUGGUGGCUGCCUGCUCCUGGUGGUUGAUGGUGGGCUGGCAGUUCCCUUCUGGUCCAUUGUGCCGUCACCUGUCACAUUACACCUUCAGAGCCUGGAGAAAGACCUUCCUCCACACUCCAGCCCAUCUGGCUUCAAGUCACCAUUGCUUUGGCACUCCUUCCACAAGUGGGCUCCCCCUGGAGUUGUUGGCUGGUGAGGGGCUGCUCCAAUCUGUUCAUUUACUUGAUGCUCCUUCCCAGGGCUCUGUGUCCAAAGAACAUGAGGAACCAAGCGUGAGGAAUGCAGGAGUGAUGCCAGGAGUGAGGAGCCGAGCAGGUCAGGCAGGCCCUGCCGAGAAUGUGGCCUCAGCCAUCAAAGGUGCAGUGAGCUGAAUCCAGUGGGAAUAUCUAGCAGGCUGAAGCCUCCAGAAGAGCCUCUCUCCUCCAUCCUUCUGGCCGGCCCAGCAGGACGAUGGCAGACAAGGCCCUCCAGUCCCCUCAGCUGUCCCGUUUUAGCAGCCUGAGAUGUGAUUCGGGUUGCCAGGGGCUCAGGUGUUCCUUGGGCUCUGCGAGCCCUUGGAAGCUGGAGCAGGCUGCCCCCUCAAAUGCUGCAGAAAAUCCACUGAAGAUGAAGCCCUGCUGAGGAAAACCUAGGAAGGCCAUCAAAGUCUCUUACCUUCGAUUCCUUCUUCUUGAUUUUCUGAGGUAGACAAGGUCUCUGAAGAAAGACAAUCUGCUUGGUGGAUACACUCCCCUCGCUGUAACACACGGAGCUGAGAAUGAGCCACUUUAUGCCUUAGAGGAACCCAAAACCUGACACAGAUGUUGCCAUCCCUAAUUUCAUCAAAGCAGACCACCCACAGGAUUAUGACAGGUUAGAAGAGACGCCUGCUCUACUCUUCCGCUCCCAGGCCAUCCAACCUUGCUUCCGAGGGGCUAUCUCAGAUGCCCAACAAAAGCUUUUUGGGUAUCCCUACAAAGUCAGCUUCCUAGCUGGACACGCCCAUUCCCUUAAUGGGAAGUAACAGCAUCUUGGCCAAAUGUGGACACACUGGCUGCUUCAGUGGAUCUCAAAGGGGCAGGGGCCUUUUCCAAAUCUGUCUCUGGUAAUGAUGGGCAGGUAGAUAAGGACCUGGGUGAUGAGCUCAGCCCUCCAGCUGCUACAGGACAGUGGACAGAGGUCAUGGCUGCAUCCAGGGUCUCAGCCAUGCAUGGCUCCUGCAGGCACACCAAAGACUGCACAGCACCAGGCGGGCCCUGCAAGGCAGUGCCUGUUAACCAGCUCUGGCUCACAUGCGAGGGAGGGGCGACUCGUAUCUUACAAUACAGUGAAUUCUCUCUUCCCAGGAAGGCAGGACCUGGAGCUGCCUCUAAAGAUGAUAGAAGUAUUGUAAAGAAGAUCACUGUUUUUUUUUUCCCCUGCUUCCACCCUUCUGAUGAUUUUGUAUUUUAUUUUUAAUUUACAAAUAAUAAUUGUAUAUUUAUGGGGUAGAGUGUGAUGUUUUGAUAUAUGUUUACAAUGUGGACUGAUUAAAUCAGGCUACUUAACAAAUCCAUCACCUCACAUACUUAGCACUUUUUGUGGUGAAAACAUUUAAAAGCUACUCUUUUAGGAACUGUAAACUAUACAAGGCAUUAUUGUUUAUAAUAGUCACCAUUCUGUGCAAUAGAUGACCAAGGCUUAUUCCUCCUAACUGAAACUUUGUACCCUUUGAUCAACAUCUCUCGUUUGCCCAUCCGCCCCACUCCCCAGCCUCUGGUAAACACCAUUCUACUCUCUG